UACGGAGGGGGCUAGCGUUGUUCGGAAUUAUUGGGCGUAAAGAGCUCGUAGGCGGUUUGUCGCGUCGGCUGUGAAAACUCGGGGCUCAACCCCGAGCCUGCAGUCGAUACGGGCAGACUAGAGUGCGGUAGGGGAGACUGGAAUUCCUGGUGUAGCGGUGAAAUGCGCAGAUAUCAGGAGGAACACCGGUGGCGAAGGCGGGUCUCUGGGCCGUAACUGACGCUGAGGAGCGAAAGCGUGGGGAGCAAACAGG
rnacentral:rRNA from 1 species